UGGGGAAUAUUGGACAAUGGGCGAAAGCCUGAUCCAGCCAUGCCGCGUGUGUGAAGAAGGUCUUCGGAUUGUAAAGCACUUUAAGGGGGGAGGAAGGGCAGUAAGCGAAUACCUUGCUGUUUUGACGUUACCGACAGAAUAAGCACCGGCUAACUCUGUGCCAGCAGCCGCGGUAAUACAGAGGGUGCAAGCGUUAAUCGGAAUUACUGGGCGGAAAGCGCGCGUAGGUGGUUCGUUAAGUUGAAUGUGAAAGCCCCGGGCUCAACCUGGGAACUGCAUCCAAAACUGGCGAGCUAGAGUAGGGCAGAGGGUGGUGGAAUUUCCUGUGUAGCGGUGAAAAGCGUAGAUAUAGGAAGGAACACCAGUGGCGGAGGCGACCACCUGGGCUCAUACUGACACUGAGGUGCGAAAGCGUGGGGAGCAAACAGG
rnacentral:rRNA from 1 species